rnacentral:tRNA from 1 species
GGAUGCUUAGCUCAGUGGUAGAGCGCUGCCUUCACACGGCAGGGGUCACAGGUUCGAAUCCUGUAGCAUCCACCA